UACAGGGGGUGCAAACGUUGCUCGGAAUCAUUGGGCGUAAAGCGCACGUAGGCGGUCUGUUAUGUCGGAUGUGAAAGCCCUCGGCUCAACUGAGGAAGUGCAUCCGAAACUGGCAGGCUAGAGUACUAAAGAGGGUCGCGGAACUCCCGGUGUAGAGGUGAAAUUCGUAGAUAUCGGGAGGAACACCGGUGGCGAAGGCGGCGACCUGGGUAGAUACUGACGCUGAGGUGCGAAAGCGUGGGGAGCAAACAGG
rnacentral:rRNA from 1 species